GACGGAGGGGGCUAGCGUUGUUCGGAAUUACUGGGCGUAAAGGGCGCGUAGGCGGCCGAUCAAGUUAGGCGUGAAAUCCCUGGGCUUAACCCAGGAACUGCGUUUAAUACUGAUUGGCUAGAGAUUGGUAGAGGAAAGUGGAAUUCCUAGUGUAGAGGUGAAAAUUCGUAGAUAUUAGGAAGAACACCAGAGGCGAAGGCGACUUUCUGGGCCAAUACUGACGCUGAGGCGCGAAAGCGUGGGGAGCAAACAGG
rnacentral:rRNA from 1 species